rnacentral:rRNA from 1 species
UACGGAGUGUGCAAGCUUUAAUCGGAAUUACUGGGCGUAAAGCGCACGCAGGUGGCUAAGUCAGUCGAUUGUGAAAGCCCUGGGCUUAACCUGGGAACUGCAUUUGUGACUGCAUGGCUGGAGUGCGGCAGAGGGGGAUGGAAUUCCGCGUGUAGCAGUGAAAUGCGUAGAUAUGCGGAGGAACACCGAUGGCGAAGGCAAUCCCCUGGGCCUGCACUGACGCUCAUGCACGAAAGCGUGGGGAGCAAACAGG